AUAGAAGUGGGUUGGCAGACGUCAAACAGCGAAAAUCAAUUUUUGAGGAUUAUUUUCGAGCUUUGAUUUUCCACACUCGGCACUAAAUGGCCGUGGGUUAUGUGUGUGCGUUAAAGUGCGAAGCUGGCACAUCUCUCAAAUCUGGACGUCUCGACACCUCGACAGGCAAAUAAUGCCAGAAGAUGACGGCCUCCCACACUCGCCGGCUGGGGGCCGCGCGCGCGGCGCGACGCUCGUGAAAAUUAAUGAUUGUUCGUUCGGCGAGCCGCACGCGACCUACCUCAACGCCCCGGCGCGGCCACCGGCAGCCCGACGGCGAAGAUAAAUGCGUAUUUGAUAGUCCACCAUGACUCGGAACUUCCUCGAGACUCUCUCCGGACGCGCGACUUUAUGAAGUCGUUAUACUAUCCACAAGUCCACAAACGACCAAGAAGCCGACCCGAAAGAAAGAGAAACACACAGUCAAAGACAUUAAUAAAUUACCAAGUUUCGGUUUCUGUCUUCAUUCCCCGUCAUAUUUAUCCGAUGUUAUCUCGUCUUUGGGCUCUCGCUGAGUGAGAAGCAGCGCGUCUCGGAAUCCCGCAGCUUAGACAAACACAUGUCUUGACUCUUAGCUACAUGCCGGGUCGAGAUUCGUAAGAUCAUCAUCAGAUUUUCAAACGUGUUGGGCUGGAUGAUGUGAAUAUAAGCGAUGUUACUGAGCGUAUUUCAAACCUUCUUAAACAUUCUGGUUCAUGUAGAAGAGGGUGCGAACAGAACGUAGAUCUAAGAUCCGUUUAUCCCAACGGAUUAUGCGACUAUUUAUUACGUGUCUCGUGUCUGCACCUUUCCGCCAUUCUACAUCCCCCACUGUCUUAACUCCGAGUGAAAAGUGAAAACCUAAACCCGACUCGGAGACUUAACGAAGACGCAUUUAAAACACUAAUAAUUCUUAUGCACAAAUUCCGGGGACUACAGCAGCCCGACAGCACUGCCAACGCGUUUGACAGAAGUGACAAGCGGAUAAACAACCGAAAACCAGCCAAGAUGAAUGCAACUAAAAACGGCGGAUGCUAAUAUACGUUUCUUCUUUCUUCGUCAUCGUACAAAACGGACUAAUGAGAGGAAAUUAACACUUUAAUAAAAAAUUAAAUUUUU